UGCGCAGGCGGACUUUUAAGUCAGUGGUGAAAUCCCGAGGCUCAACCUCGGAACUGCCAUUGAUACUGGAAGUCUUGAAUUUGGUUGAAGUGGGCGGAAUGUAGCAUGUAGCGGUGAAAUGCUUAGAUAUGCUACAGAUCACCGAUCGCGAAGGCAGCUCACUAAGCCAAUAUUGACGCUCAGGCACGAAAGCGUGGGGAGCAAACAGGAUUAGAUACCCUGGUAGUCC
rnacentral:rRNA from 1 species